GUGAAUCAUCGAAUCUUUGAACGCACAUUGCGCUUCCUGGUAUUCCGGGGAGCAUGCUCGUUUCAGAAUCAUUAAAAACUCACGCUCUUUGGUUUGCUCACACACUGUGACAGGCUAUUAGAUGCGUGGAUGUGAGCGUUUUUGGCUACAGUCAGCAUCGCUUUAAAAUGAUUAUGUACGCAACCCUUGCCUUUGGCGGGCUGCCAACAGUGCGACAAUGUUUUUAACAUGUUCAUUUUUGGCUGCUGCGGAAGGCUGGCGCGUGUAACUCUACUCCAACACAAAACGUAUGGCAUACGC
rnacentral:misc_RNA from 1 species